rnacentral:lncRNA from 1 species
UCCAGUGUAUAAAUAGUUAACUCUGAUUUAAUCAGAGGUGCGUGGAAGUUGGCCUGGACACUACAGUUAUUUUUUAGAAAAAAAAAAGAAAAGAAAAAGAAAAAAGAACGAACUCUGAUUUAGUCGAGGUGUGCAGAAGUUGGACCGGACACUAUAGUUAUUAAAAGAAAAAGAAAAAGGAAUGUGCUCCGAUUUAGUUGAGGUGUGCGGAAGUUGGUCCGGAUACUACAGUUAUUUAAACAAAAAAAGAAAAAGAGUUAACUCUGAUUUAGUCGAGGUGUGCGGAAGUUGGAUUGGACGCUACAGUUAUUAAGAAAAAAAAGAAAAAGUGUGAACUCUGAUUUAGUCGAGGUGUGCGGAAGUUGGCCCAAAAAAGAAAAAGAAAAAAAGAAUGAACUUCGAUUUAGUCGAGGUGUGCGGAAGUUGGUCCGGACAUUAUAGUUAUCAAAAAAGAAGAGGAAUGAAUUUCGAUUUAUUAUAAGUAGUUACUACGUUGUGUUACUUACUUUCCAUGUGAUUGAGGUUAUGGUAAAAUACUAAUUGGAAAUUCGAUUAGCAAUUCCAUUACAUAAAUAAUGAACUCUGAUUUGGCCGAGUUGUAUGUAAGUUGGUCCGGACACUACUGUUAUUUUAAGGAAAAAGAAGAAAAGGAUGAACUCCGAUAUAUUAGUUAUUAGUUGGUAAAAUACGAUUUGGAAAUUCAAUUGCAUAAAGGAUAAACUCUGAUUUAGUCGAGGUGCGCGGAAGUUGGUCCGGAAACUUACAGUUGUAAAAAAAAAAGAAAAAGAAUGAACUCCGAUUUGUUGUUUAUUACGUUGUCUUGAAGAUAGGUAAAAUAUGAUUUGGAAAUUCAUUGUAUAAGGAGUGAACUCUGAUUUAGUCGAGGUACGUGGAAGUUGACCCGGACAAUACAGUUAUAGAAGUUGGUAAAAUGCGAAUUGGAAAUUUCAUUAUAUAAGGAAUGAACUCUGAUUUAGUCGAGGUGUGUGGAAGCUGACCCGGACAAUACAAUUAUAGAAGUUGGUAAAAUGCGAAUUGGAAAUUCGAUUGCAUAAAGGAUGAACUCCGAUUUAGUCGAGGUGCGUGAAAGUUGGACAGGACACUAUAGUUAUUUUAAAAAAAAGAAAAGAAAAGGAGUGAACUCCGAUUUAUUAGUUAUUAUGUUGUCUUGAAGUUAGGUAAAAUGCGACUUGGAAAUUUCAUUGUAUAAGCAAUGAACUUUGAUUUAGUCGAGGUGCGUGGAGGCUGACCCGGACAUAUGCAGUUAUAGAAGUUGGUAAAAUGCAAAUUGAAAAUUUGAUUGCAUAAGAAUGAACUUUGAUUUAGUUGAGGUGCAUGGAAAGUUGGCCCGGACACUACAGUUUUAAGAAAAAAGACAAGAAGAAGAAUGCGCUUCAAUUUAUUAGUUACUAUUCUAUAUUACUUGCUUUCCUUGUUACAGUGGCUAUGAAGUUGGUAAAAUACAUUUGGAAAUUCAAUUGCAUAAAGGAUGAACUUUGAUUUAGUCGGGGUGUGCGGAAGUUGGACCAGACACUACAGUUAUUUAUUUUUUUUAAAAGAAAAAAGUGAAUUUUGAUUUAUUAGUUAUUACGUUG